CCGCGCCGGCACUGGCCCCGCCCCCCGCGGGAGGGGAGGGGGGCACGGGGAGAAGGUGGUGUCCAGAAGGAGUCUGAGCACUGUGCGCAGUCAUGAGGACAUCCUGACUGAAAAUGAUCUCAUCUUGCUUCCCCAGACUGCCCUGACAUCACCCCUGAACUCACCUGACAUCAUCCCCAAACUCCCCUGGCACUGGUUGAUGCGAAACUCAACAUGAGCCAGAAAAGUGGGCUUGCAGCCCAGAAAGCCAAUCAUAACCUGCACGGGAAGGACAUGGAUCUGUUCAAUGUUUUUCCAGAUACCGUUCAAUCUUUGGAGAUGAUAACGUCUUGUGUGAAGUAUGAUCUGUGCUGAGCAGUUGGCUCUUCUGCUAUCACCUCUGUUUGGAAUUUCUCCCUAUCUCAGAGGCGAGAUCAAGCAGAGCUGGCCCCAAAGCUCCAAAUUAGCACGAGAUUUUACUGUUGUGAAGUUUAUAACAACAUCAAAAUUAGUCCUUGGAUAGUAGUAUAAUUAAAAAGAUUUCUGGGAAAGUUUAUCCAUGUGCCUAUAAGUGGGAAAUGCAUCGUGUCUCGCUGCACACGAUGGAUGCAGACUGCUCCCUCGCGUUGCCCAGCCUGAUUAAAGGAUGCUCGCUUCCUAAAACUCCAAAACGAACCUUAGAGCUUUUAUUUCCAGGCAUUUUCGGCGCCUUUGCUCCGUCUGCUGUCCUGAUGGAUGGGGGGACACUACCCAGACCCCUGGUGUCCCCGGGGCCGGGCGGCGGCGCGUUUUCUCCCCGUGCCGCCAGAGUCCCUGCGCCUCAGCCGGUGCCGCUC